UACAGAGGUCCCAAGCGUUGUUCGGAUUCACUGGGCGUAAAGGGUGCGUAGGCGGCCGGGUAAGUCUGAUGUGAAAUCCCGCAGCUCAACUGCGGAACUGCAUCGGAUACUCUCCGGCUAGAGGAAUGGAGGGGAGACUGGAAUUCUCGGUGUAGCAGUGAAAUGCGUAGAUAUCGAGAGGAACACCAGUGGCGAAGGCGAGUCUCUGGACAUUUCCUGACGCUGAGGCACGAAAGCCAGGGGAGCAAACGGG
rnacentral:rRNA from 1 species